rnacentral:rRNA from 1 species
GAACUUAGCAGAGAUGCUUUGGUGCCUUCGGGAACUCUGAGACAGGUGCUGCAUGGCUGUCGUCAGCUCGUGUUGUGAAAUGUUGGGUUAAGUCCCGNAACGAGCGCAACCCUUAUCCUUUGUUGCCAGCGGUUCGGCCGGGAACUCAAAGGAGACUGCCGGUGAUAAACCGGAGGAAGGUGGGGAUGACGUCAAGUCAUCAUGGCCCUUACGGCCAGGGCUACACACGUGCUACAAUGGCGCAUACAAAGAGAAGCGACCUCGCGAGAGCAAGCGGACCUCAUAAAGUGCGUCGUAGUCCGGAUUGGAGUCUGCAACUCGACUCCAUGAAGUCGGAAUCGCUAGUAAUCGUAGAUCAGAAUGCUACGGUGAAUACGUUCCCGGGCCUUGUACACACCGCCCGUCACACCAUGGGAGUGGGUUGCAAAAGAAGUAGGUAGCUUAACCUUCGGGAGGGCGCUUACCACUUUGUGAUUCAUGACUGGGGUGAAGUCGUAACAAGGUAAGCGUAGCGAG